rnacentral:rRNA from 1 species
GACGUAGGGCGCGAGCGUUGUCCGGAUUUAUUGGGCGUAAAGAGCUCGUAGGCGGCUUGUUGCGUCAGCUGUGAAAACCCGCAGCUCAACUGUGGGCUUGCAGCUGAUACGGGCAGGCUUGAGUUCGGUAGGGGAGACUGGGAAUUCCUGGUGUGAGCGGUGAAAAUGCGCAGAUAUCAGGAGGAACACCGGUGGCGAAGGCGGGUUCUCUGGGCCUGUUCUGACGCUGGAGGAGC